AUCCAAUAUUCAAUCGAUCUCUCGAUCGUCCAUCCCAUUUGUGGUGCUUUGAUGUUGAGGUAGUUUACCUAUGCAAAUGGUUCAUAAUUCGAAUGAUCGAGAUAUCUGUGAACUGGUGGAUCAAAGGAGAACUUGUUAAGCAUGCCAAAUAUGCUUUAGGAGCUUGUGCUCAUGUCUGUUGGAUAUAGAACUGCUAUGUAAUUGCUAUUAAAUUUUUGAAAGAAACGAUUUGGAUAUAUUGGUAAAUUAUGAAAUUACUAUUGAA